CCUCUGGGUUGCCUCCGUGGGGAAUAUUGGACAAUGGGGGCAACCCUGAUCCAGCCAUGCCGCGUGUGUGAAGAAGGCCCUCGGGUUGUAAAGCACUUUCAGUGAGGAAGAACGCCUGGUGGUUAAUACCCAUCAGGAAAGACAUCACUCACAGAAGAAGCACCGGCUAACUCCGUGCCAGCAGCCGCGGUAAUACGGAGGGUGCGAGCGUUAAUCGGAAUUACUGGGCGUAAAGCGCGCGUAGGUGGCUUGAUAAGCCGGUUGUGAAAGCCCCGGGCUCAACCUGGGAACGGCAUCCGGAACUGUCAAGCUAGAGUGCAGGAGAGGAAGGUAGAAUUCCCGGUGUAGCGGUGAAAUGCGUAGAGAUCGGGAGGAAUACCAGUGGCGAAGGCGGCCUUCUGGACUGACACUGACACUGAGGUGCGAAAGCGUGGGUAGCAAACAGGAUUAGAUACCCGAGUAGUC
rnacentral:rRNA from 1 species